GAAAUGGCUGCUAAUACCGCAUAAGCGCACAGAGCUGCAUGGCUCGGUGUGAAAAACUCCGGUGGUAUAAGAUGGACCCGCGUUGGAUUAGCUUGUUGGUGGGGUAACGGCCCACCAAGGCGACGAUCCAUAGCCGGCCUGAGAGGGUGAACGGCCACAUUGGGACUGAGACACGGCCCAGACUCCUACGGGAGGCAGCAGUGGGGAAUAUUGCACAAUGGGGGAAACCCUGAUGCAGCAACGCCGCGUGAGUGAAGAAGUAUUUCGGUAUGUAAAGCUCUAUCAGCAGGGAAGAUAAUGACGGUACCUGACUAAGAAGCUCCGGCUAAAUACGUGCCAGCAGCCGCGGUAAUACGUAUGGAGCAAGCGUUAUCCGGAUUUACUGGGUGUAAAGGGUGCGUAGGUGGCAGUGCAAGUCAGAUGUGAAAGGCCGGGGCUCAACCCCGGAGCUGCAUUUGAAACUGCAUAGCUAGAGUACAGGAGAGGCAGGCGGAAUUCCUAGUGUAGCGGUGAAAUGCGUAGAUAUUAGGAGGAACACCAGUGGCGAAGGCGGCCUGCUGGACUGUUACUGACACUGAGGCACGAAAGCGUGGGGAGCAAACAGGAUUAGAUACCCUGGUAGUCCACGCCGUAAACGAUGAGUACUAGGUGUCGGGGCCGUAUAGGCUUCGGUGCCGCCGCUAACGCAGUAAGUAUUCCACCUGGGGAGUACGUUCGCAA
rnacentral:rRNA from 1 species